rnacentral:rRNA from 1 species
AGAAUCAACGCUGGCGGCGUGCCUAACACAUGCAAGUCGCACGGAGAAACGGGGAGCAAUCCCUGGAGUAAAGUGGCGCACGGGUGAGUAACACGUGGAAUAAUCUACCUCCGAGUGGGAAUAACUGAGAGAAAUCUUAGCUAAUACCGCAUAACAACUUACGAGUCAAAGCAGCAAUGCGCUUGGAGAGGAGUUCGCGGCCGAUUAGUUAGUUGGCGGGUAAUGGCCCACAAGCGAUGAUCGGUA